GGCGAACGCUGGCGGCGUGCUUAACACAUGCAAGUCGAACGCUGAAGCUCAGCUUGCUGGGUGGAUGAGUGGCGAACGGGUGAGUAACACGUGAGUAACCUGCCCUCUUCUUUGGGAUAACGCCCGGAAACGGGUGCUAAUACUGGAUAUUCACUGAUUCUCGCAUGGGGGUUGGUGGAAAGGUUUUUUCUGGUGGGGGAUGGGCUCGCGGCCUAUCAGCUUGUUGGUGGGGUGAUGGCCUACCAAGGCUUUGACGGGUAGCCGGCCUGAGAGGGUGACCGGUCACAUUGGGACUGAGAUACGGCCCAGACUCCUACGGGAGGCAGCAGUGGGGAAUAUUGCACAAUGGGCGAAAGCCUGAUGCAGCGACGCCGCGUGAGGGAUGGAGGCCUUCGGGUUGUAAACCUCUUUCGCCCAUGGUCAAGCCGCAGCUUUGGGUUGUGGUGAGGGUAGUGGGUAAAGAAGCGCCGGCUAACUACGUG
rnacentral:rRNA from 1 species